rnacentral:lncRNA from 1 species
GAACAUAUGCAAACCAUGAUUGAUAAAGACAUACCUGAUAUCUCUCAUAUGAUGAUAAGUGUUUGGCUUUUUCUGAUCGCACCAUGACGGGUUAAGCUAACUUGUUCUAUCAUACCUCUGAGUUCAAAGCUCAUGUGCUCUUGGUUCUAAUGUUAAUCUUAACCAGUGCGUCCAAUCAUAAACAACAACAUCUACAGUCAAGGGGACUGAAUGAGAGGACAACCAAGUAUUUGGUGUAAGUAAUCAGGACAAUCACUAGCCAGAUGCAGUCAAAUAUCUAACGAAAUAAACAGGAAAAUGUAUGUAAACAAAAUCAAAUUCAUUAGAUUAAGACAACCCAUAAUAGGUGAUUACAUCAAGGCAAAAGAAAAUAAAAAAAAAACUGAAUAAACCAAAAACAAAAAUACAC